rnacentral:rRNA from 1 species
GAGUUUGAUCCUGGCUCAGGAUUAACGCUGGCGGCAUGCCUAAUACAUGCAAGUCGAACGGAGUAGCAAUACUUAGUGGCGAACGGGUGAGUAACACGUAUCUAAUCUACCAUUUAGUGGGGAAUAACUGUUGGAAACGACAGCUAAUACCGCAUAAUAUUGCUGGAUAAUUUCCAGUAAUGAAAGGAGCUUUCAAGCUCCGCUGAUUGAUGAGGAUGCGGCGCAUUAGCUAGUUGGUAGGGUAAUGGCCUACCAAGGCAAUGAUGCGUAGCCGAUCUGAGAGGAUGAACGGCCACAUUGGGACUGAGACACGGCCCAAACUUCUACGGAAGGCAGCAGUAGGGAAUUUUUCACAAUGGGCGAAAGCCUGAUGGAGCAAUGCCGCGUGACUGAUGAAGGUCUUCGGAUUGUAAAGGUCUGUUGUAAGGGAAGAAAUGGUAAAACAGGAAAUGGUUUUAUCUAUGACGGUACCUUACCAGAAAGCCACGGCUAACUAUGUGCCAGCAGCCGCGGUAAUACAUAGGUGGCAAGCGUUAUCCGGAUUUAUUGGGCGUAAAGGGUGCGUAGACGGUUUUGCAAGUCUGAGGUUAAAUUUAGGAGCUCAACUCCUAAUCGCCUUGGAAACUACAAGACUAGAGUAUAGGAGAGGUUAGUGGAAUUCCAUGUGUAGCGGUGGAAUGUGUAGAUAUAUGGAGGGAACACCAGUGGCGAAAG